CCGAACUCACCGCCGUUGAAAAGUUGGGAGAUGAGGUAGGUAUAGGGGUGAAACGCCAAUCGAACCCGGAGAUAGCUCGUUCUCUCCGAAAUGCAUUUAGGUGCAGCCUUGUUUGUUUAUCUGCGGGGGUAAAGCACUGAAUAGUCUAGGGGGCAUACCGCUUACCAAAACUAAUCAACCUCUGAAUACCGUAGAUCUAGAGAACAGGAGUGAGACCAUGGGUAAUAAGAUCCUUGGUCGAGAGGGAAACAGCCCAGACCACCAGCUAAGGUCCCAAAUUAUAUCUAAGUGGGAAAGGAGGUGGAGAUUCACAGACAACCAGGAUGUUGGCUUAGAAGCAGCCAUACAUUUAAAGAGUGCGUAAUAGCUCACUGGUCGAGAGUCUCUGCGCCGACAAUGUAACGGGGCUAAGAUAUAAACCGAAGCUGUGGAAUGUGCCUUAUGGCAUAUUGGUAGGAGAGCGUUGUGUAGGCCGGUGAAGGUGUACCGAAAGGAGCACUGGAGGUAUCACAAGUGAGAAUGCAGGAAUGAGUAGCGAAAAAGAGGGUGAGAAUCCCUCUCGUCGGAAGUCCAAGGUUUCCAGGGCAAUGCUUGUCAUCCCUGGGGAAGUCGGGACCUAAGUUGAGGCUGAGAAGCGUAGGCGAAUGGAAAACAGGUUAAUAUUCCUGUACCAGUUAUGUUUUGUGAUGGAGGGACGCAGAAGGGUAGAUACGCUAGGCGACGGUUGUCCUAGUGCAAGCAUGUAGUGUGGUCAGAUAGGAAAAUCCGUUUGAUUAGACAUGAGGUGUGAUGCGGAGCACGUAAGUGCGGAAGGUAUUGAUCCCACGCUGCCAAGAAAAGCUUCUAACGUUAAGACAUAACUGCCCGUACUGCAAACCGACACAGGUGGACAGGGUGAGAAACCUAAGACGGACAGGCUAACUCUCGCUAAGGAACUCUGCAAAAUGGCCCCGUAACUUCGGGAGAAGGGGUGCCUUUGAUGGUGAUGGUUCACGCAACCUGAGCUGUCGGAGGCCGCAGUGAAAAGACUCAAGCGACUGUUUAACAAAAACACAGGUCUAUGCUAAGCUGAAAGGCGAUGUAUAUGGGCUGACACCUGCCCAGUGCCGGAAGGUUAAGAGGAGGAGUGAGAGCUCCGAAUUGAAGCCCCGGUGAACGGCGGCCGUAACUAUAACGGUCCUAAGGUAGCGAAAUUCCUUGUCGGGUAAGUUCCGACCUGCACGAAUGGUGUAACGAUUUGAGUGCUGUCUUGGCGGGAGGCCUGGUGAAGUUGUAUUAUGGGUGAAGAUACCCAUUACCUGCAGCAGGACGGAAAGACCCCAUGGAGCUUUACUGUAGCUUGGUAUUGGGUCUUGAUGCUGUGUGUAUAGGAUAGUUGGGAGACUUUGAUUGUAGGCCGCCAGGUUUACAUGAGUCGUUGGUGGAAUACCAACCACGCAGUAUCGGGAUUCUAAUCUGGUGUGUGUAACACUGGAGACAGUGCUAGGUGGGCAGUUUGACUGGGGCGGUCGCCUCCGAAAGAGUAACGGAGGCGCUCAAAGGUUCCCUCAGGUUGGAUGGAAAUCAACCGCAGAGUGCAAAGGCAUAAGGGAGCUUGACUGCAAGACUGACAAGUCGAGCAGGUGCGAAAGCAGGACUUAGUGAUCCGGCGAUUCCGAAUGGAAGGGUCGUCGCUCAACGGAUAAAAGCUACCCUGGGGAUAACAGGCUGAU
rnacentral:rRNA from 1 species